UGGGGAAUAUUGCACAAUGGGCGCAAGCCUGAUGCAGCCAUGCCGCGUGUGUGAAGAAGGCCUUCGGGUUGUAAGGCACUUUCAGCGAGGAGGAAGGUGGUGAACUUAAUACGUUCAUCAAUUGACGUUACUCGCAGAAGAAGCACCGGCUAACUCCGUGCCAGCAGCCGCGGUAAUACGGAGGGUGCAAGCGUUAAUCGGAAUUACUGGGCGUAAAGCGCACGCAGGCGGUUUGUCAAGUCAGAUGUGAAAUCCCCGGGCUCAACCUGGGAACUGCAUUUGAAACUGGCAAGCUAGAGUCUCGUAGAGGGGGGUAGAAUUCCAGGUGUAGCGGUGAAAUGCGUAGAGAUCUGGAGGAAUACCGGUGGCGAAGGCGGCCCCCUGGACGAAGACUGACGCUCAGGUGCGAAAAGCGUGGGGGAGCAAACAGGAUUAGAUACCCUGGUAGUCCACGCUGUAAACGAUGUCGAUUUGGAGGUUGUGCCCUUGAGGCGUGGCUUCCGGAGCUAACGCGUUAAAUCGACCGCCUGGGGAGUACGGCCGCAAGGUUAAAACUUAAAUGAAUUG
rnacentral:rRNA from 1 species